AGCAGCCGCGGUAAUUCCAGCUCCAAUAGCGUAUAUUAAAGUUGUUGCAGUUAAAAAGCUCGUAGUUGAAUUUCGGGAUUGACACAUCGGUCGUGCCUUAAGGGGUAUGAACUGGUGUAGUCAAUUUCUCACCUUCUGGAGAACCGCGAUGCCCUUAAUUGGGUGUCGCGGGGAACCAGGACCUUUACUUUGAAAAAAUUAGAGUGUUUAAAGCAGGCAUUUUGCUUGAAUACAUUAGCAUGGAAUAAUAAAAUAGGACGGCAUGAUUCUAUUUUGUUGGUUUCUAGGAUCACCGUAAUGAUUAAUAGGGAUAGUUGGGGGCAUUAGUAUUCAAUUGUCAGAGGUGAAAUUCUUGGAUUUAUUGAAGACUAACUACUGCGAAAGCAUUUGCCAAGGAUGUUUUCAUUAAUCAAGAACGAAAGUUAGGGGAUCGAAGACGAUCAGAUACCG
rnacentral:rRNA from 2 species